AAGUUUUAGAGAGGCGGAGAAGGCCAGAACAAAGAGAGGGAGUGGAGAGAACAUGGCGGCGAAGGUUAAGAUUCCUCUCUAUGCUUAUUACAGAUUAUAGCAACUUAAUUAGUUCAAGAGGGUGUAUGGUGGCCGGAGGCACCGGGCUCCGACAUGGAAUUGGGAUGUGUAUGCCUGGCGCGGUGAAGGGCGGGGCGGCCUGACUGGGUGCCAUGUUGGAAUGGCUCACAGACAGCGGGUCAGAAAGUAGAUGGGGGCAGCGUGGAGCCACUAAGAUAAACUACCGCUAGUUCCAAGGGUCUGCUAGAGCCAGAACUAACGCAAGCGAACGGGUACGUGCGGGAACCGGUUCCAAGCGAUUUUUACUUUUACCGAAACAGAGCAGGCUCAACCGGGAGCUCCAGAGCUUGGUCGGAUUCUCCUGGAAAUGUCAGCAUGGACCCGGGAGGUUGGAUAACUCACGGAAGGUUUCUGUGGGAAGCUGUUUCUAUCAGGAGAUGAGGCAGCAGCGGAAUUGAGUUUAUAUUCUAAUCAAAGACUGAGUAAAGCAUUUAGCGGUCAGUUCAGGGCACUUCCCAGAGGCCUUGAACUGUUCUUACCAGUAAAUGCAAGUUCAUUAUCAAAUUAGGAAGUACUGUCGUCUAUUGGAAAAGAUUCUGGCGAAUGACAUAAUUGCAUCUAAAUGUUCGUUACUGUAGACUCGCUGUUUCCAAAUCCUUUUGUGUUGCUUUAAACACUGGGAAAUCAAUUUAAGAAGUGAUUCAAUUAUGGCUGACUGCAGUGGGUCAUAUCCACAACCUCAGUACUUGGAAGAUGGAGGCAGUGUGAUCACGAAUUCAAGGAGAGCCUGUGUAUGCGGUGAGACCUUGGAGAAGAGAGAGAGGCAGCAGCUUAAAUUUCUACCCUAUUAUGGACACAGUAACAGACAGUGGCAGUCCCAGUCUGGGACUGAAGAUAAGUCGUCCCCCAUGUGACCACCAGUUUAACCUGGGCUGCGGUCACAGGAGAUGCCUGAAGAAGAAAGAGUGUGCCUCCUGCUGUGACGUGUCAAGGCAGAAGAUCUGAGAGUUUCUGGAGGAAGAUGUGUCUGCCCCAGACAAGCCACCAUUUUAAAGAGCAGUUAGAAACUGACUGCACAGGAAGGAAGGAGGAAAGGACUCCCCGGCUCUUGGAAGAGCUUCCUCCUGCAAACCCUUAGCAGUCAGAGGGGAAUACUGAAGAAACUGCAGGUGUUCUCUGAGUUGCCUGAUGGGGUGAGGCACGUGGUGCUAGAUGAGGCUGGUUAUAAGGAAGUUGGGGGGGCAUAUCCUUGAGGUCAGUUCAAGAAGCAUUAGCCCCUGUACCAAAUGCCAAGCACACAGGGACUCAGACCUGGUCCUUAACCUCUGUAAGCUUAUCACCUGCUAAGAGAGCCCGAAAUACAAACAGAACUUCAAUACCGCGUGCCAGGGGCAAUCCCAGAGGACUCUAGUUCACCCUUAGGAGCUGGGGAGGACUCACUGGAGCCCCAAGAAGUAAGGAAGAAAUAAACAGAAGGUGAUGUAAACAGUAACGUGUUUCUGGCCAAAGGAGGAAGCUAGAAUUGCGAGCUCACAGGUGAUGAGGUGUGUUGUGUGCGAUCCGACCGAGAACAAAUACCUUCCGCUUGCUGGGCACACAGCAUGAAGCACACGUCUUGUUCACAAGAGAAAAGCGAAAGGAAGAAACAGAUAUUGGAGGGCACUGGUGUCCUAAGAGCUCCUACAGGUUCCGAAGGGCUGCAGAGUUUCAGUCAGAAGAGCAUACACUUAACACUGCUCACUGAUAACAGCGCCAUCCGUGGUAGAUUUGAGGGAGACGGGCCUGAUGGGAAGGGCAGUCAGCAGACUCGGGUGGCUUAAAGGAAGAUACACUAGAGUGGAUGGAGAGUUGGAAGCUAACCUGAGAGAGUUUAGGAGGCAAGAUGGAUUCCCAGCACUCACGCAGGGGUUUGUAACUGCCUGUAACUCCAGUCCCAAGAAACCUAACCCCUCUUCUUACCUUUUCAGGCACAUUCGUACAUGCAAGCAAAACACUUAUAGGCUUAAAAUAAAUCUAAAACUUAAAUGUUUUAACCUCAGGAUACAAGAGGAGGAGGGCCCUAAAGGCAUACCUCCAAUGACCUACUUCCUCCAGUUAGGCUCCACCCACCUUCCAUCACCUCUCAAGAAGGCCAUUGGUUUAUGACUCCUAGAGGAAUUAAACCUAUUCAUUAGGUCAGAGUUGGUCUCGGGCUUUUGUCAGUCCAUUAAGCCGAUAAUGAAGAUCGACUAACACACUAGCAGUGGUAAGCUAAAAGCAACCCUGUGUGCAAACGGCCCUCUCAAAACCAACACGCAAAAGCGGGGAAUGGCUCUUCUACGAGCUGCUUUCAUAAGCAAGUUCCUGGGGUAGCGGUACUACGGAUAAGGGUAUAGAACGUUAGGUACACAAGUCAGCCGUGCUCGAUAUACGUUCCAGGUGCUGCCCGUGUGACUGAGCGUUGCUGUGCAAGCUCCGAACGUUUUGUUCUUGAACUCUGGUGCUCUGGCUACAAAUGGGAUCUGUAAUGUUAUGCUAAUAAGAAGCGGUAUUGUCAGAGAAGCCAUCAUUAAAGCAGUCUGCGUAGCUGUCGGGUGGCCUGCCUAUUUCCAACUUUAUGUAGAGUGAGUGGCAAUUUGUAGCCUAGUGCCAGCAGCAGAAGUGUGAUUAGGACAAUAAAGAUAUUCACGAAAUAUGUAAACUCAGCUUUUCAGGGCUUUCAAUAUCUUUAAAAGGAAAAAAAAAAAAAGAAACCCUGCUAGUUCAGUCCAAAAUGAAACCUUUCUUUCAAGAUUUUUUUUAAUGGAACUGGAACAUUUGAACUGAUUUAUAAAUGCACAAUUCCCUGCAUAUUUAUUUAAUCAAUUCGCCUAUAACGCUGGCCAUUUGUAUGAGGCUGUAUAGCUCUAGACACUCUUAGAGUCCAUUCGACUGAUUCAGGUAAAUUUUUCAAUGGUGUAGGGGUUGCUGAGGAGAGAGAUGUUGCAGGAUAUUUGAUCACACUGCGAAUCUUGAGAUUGUGUUCUUUACUGGGGGGGAAAAAAAAACCCUGUUUUUAGUUGUGGUGUGGCCCAGCCGUAGCAUACACCUUUAAUUCAAGAGCUUUCUGCUUGACUAUUGUAAGUGGGGUUAAAUAAAGUCAACCAUUAGGUCAAGAGGCAGAGCAAGCAACCAAAUGACGGGCGGUGAACAAAAGAUUAUUAAAAACCGGGAGUCAGGAAGGCAGAUAGAACAGGAAGUAGAAGGCAGAGACACUCAGUUUGAAAGAGGUUCUUUUGAGACCGUGUGAGAGAGGGACCUUCAGGGCUGUCAGCUGAGGAGAAAGGUGAGCUGGGUGCUUUCUUUGUCUCUCACCCCAGCAUCUGGCUUCUGAGUCUUCAUUGUUAAAACUGAACAACUGAGAUUUUGUUUAAAAAACAAAUAAACAAAACAGAAACCAGACGGCUCAGCUAUUAAGAGCUCUUCUGUCCUUCAAGUAGGUUCCGUUUUCCGGCACCCAAGCUGGGCAGCUCACAACCGUCUAUACCUAAAACUGAAGCUCGUAAGGGACAUGUAUGACGCCUUCUUCUAGCCUCUGCAGCCGUAAACACAUGCGGCACACACACUUACAAGCACACACGAAACUAAAAAUUUUAAAUUUUACCCAGUGGGAUAAAAGUUUGCACUCAAGAUCCCAGUAAUAAGAGGAUCUGGAUAUUGAAACUGAAAUGGUCCGCAAAUCUCUAUUGGUUUUAUGGUGGUUCCAAUGAGUAGUGCCCCCACAGAGACUCACGUAUUUAAACACUUGGCUCUCAGUUGGUGCCACUGUUUGGAGGAUCAGGAGUUGCAGCCCUGCUGAAGGGAGUAUAUGACUAGGACAAGAGUGGACGUAAAUAGCCUCUCCCUACUCCUGCUUCACCUUCUCUUGUCUUGAUGUGUUCAUCAAGCGAUGCCCUUGAAGCCCUCCAUUGUUGAUGUUAUUAUUAUGGUUAGCAUUAAGUAUGACUGGGUUCAUGGAAAACCCCCAGCCAGCUGCAGUAGACUAAUACAAAUCUGGUGGUCAAAAUGAGUAAUAAUAUGAUACGUCAAGACGCCCAAUGCGAUGACCUGUAACCUUUCCAAAAAACCAACAUCCUGCUGACUAAUAGUUGUGACAAACCUGUGACCUUUCUGACAUCCUGUCAACAUCAGCUGAUUCCCUGACCACACGAAUAUUAUGUCCUUGGCCUGCGUAAAUGAUUCUUACUUCCCCCCUUCCUCUGUUACCCCUGUUAUGGUAUAAAUUCAGCCUUGGGGAAAAAUAAAAUUGUCGCCUUGAUCAGA